rnacentral:ncRNA from 2 species
AAAACAGUUAUAGCGCCAGUACUGAAGAAAUCGGACGACAAGUAUCUUCAGUAGACGAGGUGGAGGAGUAUCGAAAGUUUCGGCGGAUGCCUCCCGGUCGACAGCCCGAUCGUAAGUUCAUCUUUAAAAUAGUGAAGUGAUUCAUUAGACAAAGAGAUGAAAUGGCAAAUC